GACGAACGCUGGCGGCGUGCUUAACACAUGCAAGUCGAACGGAAAGGCCCUGCUUUUGUGGGGUGCUCGAGUGGCGAACGGGUGAGUAACACGUGAGUAACCUGCCCUUGACUUUGGGAUAACUUCAGGAAACUGGGGCUAAUACCGGAUAGGAGCUCCUGCUGCAUGGUGGGGGUUGGAAAGUUUCGGCGGUUGGGGAUGGACUCGCGGCUUAUCAGCUUGUUGGUGGGGUAGUGGCUUACCAAGGCUUUGACGGGUAGCCGGCCUGAGAGGGUGACCGGCCACAUUGGGACUGAGAUACGGCCCAGACGCCUACGGGAGGCAGCAGUGGGGAAUAUUGCACAAUGGGCGGAAGCCUGAUGCAGCAACGCCGCGUGCGGGAUGACGGCCUUCGGGUAGGAAACCGCUUUCGCCUGUGACGAAGCGUGAGGGACGGUAAUGGGUAAAGAAGCACCGGCUAACUACGU
rnacentral:rRNA from 1 species